CAGAAUUGUCAUUAUCAAUUAAUUAACUAUAUUUGCAGGGAUUUCAUUCACUAUUAAAUUUGAAUUUUCCAUCAUAAUUUGUAUCAUUUAACAAUAAUCAAAUUUUCAAUUAAUUUUAAUUAAUUAAUAUAAAGUGAAAAUGUUACUUACCUCGAAGAUGUCAACGACCUGACAAUCUAAGCACCUCUCUGAGGCUCCUCGAGACCUAGUAAUCCAAAAUCACAUACAUGUAUCAAAUCAAUGGCAUAGUAAUAUUUAAAAUUAAUUUCUAAAAAUCUCCAAAAAUUCCAAAAUUCUUCCUAAAAUUUCCAUAAUCCUAAAAUCUCCGUUUCUACACUAAUUAUCACCAAAGCAGUGGAUGUGGGCCACUAACCUUUCCCAGUAUCCGGUCACAGGGUGGGGGAUAAGGAUUAGCACCACGUCUAGCUCAGAGAGGGAGAGAAAGAGCAAGAAAGAGGGAAAGGAAAAGUCCCCUUACCCUCUAACACACACACACACACACACACAAGUAGGAAAGAGUAUUAGAGAGA
rnacentral:lncRNA from 1 species